CAGUCGCCGCGGUAAUGCGUAGGUGGCAAGCGUUGUCCGGAAUUAUUGGGCGUAAAGGGCUCGCAGGCGGUUUCUUAAGUCUGAUGUGAAAGCCCCCGGCUCAACCGGGGAGGGUCAUUGGAAACUGGGAAACUUGAGUACAGAAGAGGAGAGUGGAAUUCCACGUGUAGCGGUGAAAUGCGUAGAGAUGUGGAGGAACACCAGUGGCGAAGGCGACUCUCUGGUCUGUAACUGACGCUGAGGAGCGAAAGCGUGGGGGGCGAACAGGAUUAGAUACCCCCGUAGUCCCUGUCUCUUAUAC
rnacentral:rRNA from 1 species